UGACUACACAAGUGCGUGGAAUAGCCUCGGAAAUAUUUUUUUUUUCGGCUUAUAAAUCAAAUAACACGAUAAUUAUUUAAAAAGUUAUUAAAUUAAAAUUAAUUGGGUAAAAUGAACUACGUAAUAUUUAAUUUUGUUAUUCGUAUGACACUAAAAUAUUUAUAUUUAAAUAUUGGAGUUUUGCAUGAGUCAAGAGAUAAAAAAAAAUAUGAUGAAGAUAAUUUGUUGCUGGUCAAUAGGAGCGACAAAGAUUGAAGUAAAGUAUUUUUGGUUGCUGUUUAAAUUGACUCAAAUUUAAAUCGUAAGAUAGAACUUGUAAGUUCGGGUUAAAUCUUUGGAAGAAAUAAAUUUUUUUCAGUACUUACUUUUUGUAUUGUCAAGAAAAUUGAAGGAGAGACUCGAGCGACUCCUCAUCAAAAUUACGUCUUUAUUUUAUUAAGAUGUCAAUUGUCUCUUUAAAUCUCCGAGAAUUAAAGGCCGUAUUCAACAUUACGGACAAACAAAAGUUUUGAAUGGAAAAAUAAUAGUUUUUCACAUGAAAUGACAUUUUUUCAAAAGGGCGUAAGAUUAAACGAUUAAACUGUUAGUAAAAUUUUUCACAGAUAAAUUUUCUCACAGUAGGCAUGCAAUGGGAUUUAAACAUCAUGUUUCAUUUGAAUCGACCAAUAUUUUUUCACAAUGGAUUCUAUCCCUUCGUAGAUAAAAUCACAUUUUCUCGGUAAAAUUUAUAGAAAAUUUCAUUUAAUGAAGACUUUUACUUUUAUAAAUUUGUUUUUUGAUUAUCAAAAACUCCAGGACACAUAAUUAUCAAAACUUUCCUUUACCUUUUCAAAUUUUUUUAAACCGGCUCAUAUUUUCCAGCAUUAAUUAAUUUUUUCCUGAGUCAUAAUUUUAAAUAUUUAUACAAAUAAUUAAAUUUUUAAAUUAUUUUUA